UCGAUUUUCUGGAAAAGUUGUUAAUGAUAUAAUACAAGCUGCAAGACAGGUUCCUGAUGCUACUAGUGCUCAAAACCAUUUGAAUUCACUUAGUCCAAACAACAACGAAAAUAAUGAAAAUGGUGAAGAUUAAAAGCUAAUUUGUUGUUGAAGAUGGAAUAUUGGCAAUUUAGUGGACUAAAUUUCUUAAUUUUUU